rnacentral:rRNA from 1 species
CGGGACGGGUGAGUAACGCGUGGGUAACCUGCCUCAUACAGGGGGAUAACAGUUGGAAACGACUGCUAAUACCGCAUAAGCGCACAGGAUCGCAUGAUCCGGUGUGAAAAACUCCGGUGGUAUGAGAUGGACCCGCGUCUGAUUAGCCAGUUGGCAGGGUAACGGCCUACCAAAGCGACGAUCAGUAGCCGACCUGAGAGGGUGACCGGCCACAUUGGACUGAGACACGGUCCAA